UUUCAGAGCUCAUGAUUAUGAUUCUAAUAAGAAGCUGGACGGGUUGGAACUCUUCGCAGCUUUAGGCCAUGAUUCCAAGCAUGCAAAUGAGACUCAUUCUGAAACUCAUCAUACACCUACAGAGGAUAUUGAAAAACAGGUGGAGGACAUUUUUCAAGACCAUGACGGUAACAACGACGGCUUUCUAGACUAUAAAGAAUUUUUGACAGUACAGCGUACCUAUCCAGACCUCGCGGGGGAGAGAAAAUCGAAAGACAGGAAGCAAGAAACUAAAGAAUUAUGAUGUCUUCUUUCAAAUGUUGGAAGUAUUCGUGAACAUCUGUGUAUUGUAUUAAAUGUUUUUUGAAGAGAAAAAA